CCGCGAAAGCGGGCGCUAAUACCGCAUAUGUUCUGUGGAGGAAAGUGGGGACUCGCAAGGGCCUCAACGCUCUGGGCGCGGCCGAUGUCCGAUUAGCUAGUUGGCGGGGUAAGAGCCCACCAAGGCGAUGAUCGGUAGCUGGUCUGAGAGGAUGAUCAGCCACACUGGGACUGAGACACGGCCCAGACUCCUACGGGAGGCAGCAGUGGGGAAUUUUGGACAAUGGGGGAAACCCUGAUCCAGCCAUUCCGCGUGAGUGAAGAAGGCCUUCGGGUUGUAAAGCUCUUUUGUCCGGAACGAAACGGUUAGGUCUAAUAAGCCUGACUACUGACGGUACCGGAAGAAUAA
rnacentral:rRNA from 1 species